rnacentral:rRNA from 1 species
GAUGAACGCUGGCGGCGUGCCUAAUACAUGCAAGUCGAGCGAACAGACGAGGAGCUUGCUCCUCUGACGUUAGCGGCGGACGGGUGAGUAACACGUGGAUAACCUACCUAUAAGACUGGGAUAACUUCGGGAAACCGGAGCUAAUACCGGAUAAUAUAUUGAACCGCAUGGUUCAAUAGUGAAAGACGGUUUUGCUGUCACUUAUAGAUGGAUCCGCGCCGCAUUAGCUAGUUGGUAAGGUAACGGCUUACCAAGGCAACGAUGCGUAGCCGACCUGAGAGGGUGAUCGGCCACACUGGAACUGAGACACGGUCCAGACUCCUACGGGAGGCAGCAGUAGGGAAUCUUCCGCAAUGGGCGAAAGCCUGACGGAGCAACGUCGCGUGAGUGAUGAAGGUCUUCGGAUCAGAAAACUCUGUUAGUAGGGAAGAAAAAAUGUGUAAGUACCUAUGCACGUCUUGACGGUACCUAAUCAGAAAGGCACGGCUAAUUACGUG